rnacentral:rRNA from 1 species
GUGUCAGCCGCCGCGGUAAGACAGAGGGGGCAAGCGUUGCUCGGAAUUACUGGGCGUAAAGGGCGCGUAGGCGGGAUGGCAAGUCGGUCGUGAAAUCCCUCGGCUCAACCGAGGAACGUCGAUCGAUACUGCUGUUCUUGAGGAUUGCAGAGGAGACUGGAAUUCCCGGUGUAGCGGUGAAAUGUGUAGAGAUCGGGAGGAACACCGGUGGCGAAGGCGGGUCUCUGGGCAAUUCCUGACGCUGAGGCGCGAAAGCGUGGGGAGCAAACGGGAUUAGAUACCCGCGUAGUCC